rnacentral:rRNA from 1 species
CCUACGGGUGGCAGCAGUGGGGAAUAUUGGACAAUGGGCGAAAGCCUGAUCCAGCCAUGCCGCGUGUGUGAAGAAGGCCUUCGGGUUGUAAAGCACUUUCAGUGGGGAAGAAAGCCUUGGGGCUAAUACCCUCGAGGAAGGACAUCACCCACAGAAGAAGCACCGGCUAACUCCGUGCCAGCAGCCGCGGUAAUACGGAGGGUGCGAGCGUUAAUCGGAAUUACUGGGCGUAAAGCGCGCGUAGGCGGUCUGAUAAGCCGGUUGUGAAAGCCCCGGGCUCAACCUGGGAACGGCAUCCGGAACUGUCAGGCUAGAGUGCAGGAGAGGAAGAGAGAAUUCGCGGUGUAGGGGUGAAAUCCGUAGAGAUCGGGAGGAAUACCAGUGGCGAAGGCGGUCUUCUGGAAUGACACUGACGCUGAGGUGCGAAAGCGUGGGGAGCAAACAGGAUUAGAUACCCGUGUAGUC